UACGGAGGAUGCAAGCGUUAUCCGGAUUUAUUGGGUUUAAAGGGUGCGUAGGCGGAUUAAUAAGUCAGUGGUGAAAACCUGCAGCUUAACUGUAGACUUGCCGUUGAUACUGUUAGUCUUGAGUAUGGUCAAGGCAGGCGGAAUGUGUAAUGUAGCGGUGAAAUGCUUAGAUAUUACACAGAACACCGAUUGCGAAGGCAGCUUGCUGGACCGUUACUGACGCUGAUGCACGAAAGCGUGGGGAUCGAACAGG
rnacentral:rRNA from 1 species